rnacentral:rRNA from 1 species
CUUGCUUUCUUUGCUGGCGACCGGCGCACGGGUGAGUAACACGUAUCCAACCUGCCCUUUACUCGGGGAUAGCCUUUCGAAAGAAAGAUUAAUACCCGAUAGUAUAAUGAUUCCGCAUGGUUUCAUUAUUAAAGGAUUCCGGUAAAGGAUGGGGAUGCGUUCCAUUAGGUUGUUGGUGAGGUAACGGCUCACCAAGCCUUCGAUGGAUAGGGGUUCUGAGAGGAAGGUCCCCCACGUUGGAACUGAGACACGGUCCAA